AGUCUUCCCUUCCAGGAGUUCUGGUAUGGUUUUUAGGCCCUGGGAAGCUGCUUAAGCCUGAUUUCCUUCCAUUGCUGGUCCAACCACUGGCCAGUCCAAGAUCAGCUUUCCCCAGCAAAGCUCUUCCCACGUUCUCAGGCUCCCAGCUGCUGGGAAGGAAAGACUGACUCUCACUGGGAGCCCAGACCCUACAGGUUAAUGGUGGGGAGAGGACACUGCCACCAGAGUGUUUUUAAAGGUGAAGGCUGGCUUGGCAAAAUGGAGAUGUCAGCCAAGAGAAAGGGUGAAGAACUACGUAAACUGACUAUUUGGCCUCGGCAUUUCCCAGACACCAGCUCCUUUGAUCUAUCCAAAUUGUAGUUGUUAACUUGGUGUCUGAGGAGUCUGAAACUCUCCGAAAUUGUGGGAUUUGGUUCCAUCACUGCGGCGCCAACCCGCGGCUGGGCUGUCCGCGAGAGGGAGUUGAAGGCGCGCGGAAUCCCGAGGUGCAGCUGACCCUCCUCUCAACGCCGACUCUGCCGCUCCCGCCCGGUCACCUCCCUGUCGGGCAGACUUCCUGUUCUUCUGCUCACAGCAGGGAGGCAGUCGCCGAGCCGGUCAGCAGCUUGCACGGAGAUCUUCAAUCUGCGCCCAGCCCCGGGACACAGGUGCAGAUCUCCAGCAGAGCACUGCGGAGUGCGCGCCGUCGAGCACUAGGGAAUCCUAGACGGAGGACUUGGUCCAUUCCACGCAGUCCCAGGCAGGUCCGCAGCGGAGGGACGCAUUGGUCUCCAACCCCUGGUCACGACUUCCGCGACCCUCCACCCCCUGAGAGACCUGGUCCCACGGAGCUGUCCCCCCAGGAGCCGCAGCGGGAAUAGCAAGGCAAAGGGGACCACUCAGCCUCCAGGAGGAGCCCUGAAGCGAAAAGAUUGCUGCGGGGAGCCACGUUCCCUCUGGUUCACCUCGAAGCCCAGGAGCUCCGGUCCCUGGACCAAGGAGCGAACAGACCUGAGGAAGAGGUACAAUCUUAAAGUGUUGCUGCUAGACCUUUCUUCUCUUCUAAUUUACCAAGUGAGGAGUGUUGAAAUAUCCAGCUAUAAUUUAUGGAUUUCUCCUUUCAAUACUAUCAUUUUCGGUGCUUUAUGUAUUUUUGAAGCUCUAUUAUUAGGCUAGAGUGCAAUGGCACGAUGUUGGCUCACUGCAACCUCCGCCUCCCAGGUUCAAGCAAUUCUCCUGUCUCAGCCUCUGGAGUAGCUGGAAUUACAGGCGCAUGCCACCAUGCCCGGCUAAUUUUUGUAUUUUUAGUAGAGACAGGGUUUCACCAUGUUGGCCAGGCUGGUCUCAAACUCCUGACCUCAGGUGAUCCGCCAGCCUCGGCCUCCCAAAGUGCUGGAAUUACAG